GCCUUUGUAGUGUAGUGGUCAGUACGCUCGACGCGUAACCGAGAGGUCCGUGGUUCGAUUCCCGGCGACGGCG
rnacentral:tRNA from 1 species